UACGGAGGAUCCGAGCGUUAUCCGGAUUUAUUGGGUUUAAAGGGAGCGUAGGCGGGUUGUUAAGUCAGUUGUGAAAGUUUGCGGCUCAACCGUAAAAUUGCAGUUGAUACUGGCAUCCGUUGAGUACAGUAGAGGUAGGCGGAAUUCGUGGUGUAGCGGUGAAAUGCUUAGAUAUCACGAAGAACUCCGAUUGCGAAGGCAGCCUGCUGGACUGUGAACUGACGCUGAUGCUCGAAAGUGUGGGUAUCAAACCAGG
rnacentral:rRNA from 1 species